CAGGAGUCUGAGUUGCUUCUCGUGGGUGUGGAGGUAGCGGCUGAACUCCUCAAAGUCCAGCUCGCCGUCCUGGUUGGUGUCCCCGGCGAGGACGACCUGGAGCGGGGAGUCAGAGCACAGUGGAGUGGAGGAGAUUAGUUCUUGUUCCGACCCUCUAGUCUGGAUAGAGGGGUCACAUGAGGCUCAAACAGUAAAGAGAGGUUCUGUUGACUUGGGGAGCUUGAACCACAGUACACUCUCUCCUCCGGCGGCUCACCUUAUCCACGGAGCUCCGGGACACCCCUCGCUUUGCCAGGCCAACCCGCAGCUCACGUAGAUCGAUCCGUCCAUCCUUAUUGAGGUCCAGCUGAUCGAACAGUCUGGCCCAGCGCCUCCUCCUCCUCAGCUCCGGGCUCUCCUGGUUCUCCUGGCAGCUGGCCACCAGGAGGACCCCGAGUCGCUCCAUGCGACCUUAUAGCGGGUGCUCAACGCUAGGACGAGGUGACGCCUGGAGGAUCAGCAUUACGAGGGAUUGGAACAUGAGCUCAUAAGCGGACGUUACCUCCGUCGAUCAUAUCAUGGUUAUUAGACCUCCACCGCCUUCUUCUGAGCAGACCUUCUGACUUCUUUCACCGAACAACAUGGACGCGCA